UGAACUGUCGCGCUUGGACUCAGGCACGUGACUGGUUCCAGCAACAGCCCGCUCCCGUGACCGGGUCUGCCCGCAUUCCUGCCCUCUGGCUCCAGGUCUCUGGCUCCCCUGAACCGUGCCCGCGGGCCCGUCGGUAGGCAGCACUCACCCCAUCAGCCUGCUCGGGCCAGCGGGGAACGUCCGGGCCAUCGGAGCUCGGCUGGGUCCACAACCGGCCUCAUCGCCUUCAGAGACGUGGCAGCCUCCCUGCCCCCAAGUCUUGCGGGGCUGGCAGCUUCACAUGGGCCGCGGGCACACCCCAUCCUCCUAGGCUGUCUGACCGGGUCCCACGCUGACCAGUCGCCCAGGGCCCAGGUGUCGUCUCUGGACGGAGGCUUGUCCUGCCAUCCACCCAAGCCUCCUGCCAUCCACCCAUUUUUAUCUUGGCAAGGCAUUCCAUACUCCUCCAUCUGUCGACUGCAGGGUGAAAGGGUGUUUGUGUGCCAGAGUAGUGUCCCAGGACACAUCACACCAUUUCCCCAUGAUGCCUUCAUCUGCCUAUGAAUGAGGGAUGAGGAAUCGGGGAGAAUCACCAUGUGCUUACAACUCUCCAAAUGGAGAAACCAAGAGCUACUCCCAGGAAUUCUCCUUAGAAGAAAGGUAGCACUUAAUUAUCUACACAAGCCAAUGUACAGCAGGGAGCCUUCGGAAAGCCCUAUUUACACCUCCUGCUCCAGCUGGCUGGGAGUGCUCACCAUGGGAGGCGAGCGGACUUGGUAAGCUCGAAUGCUAGCAUAACUGCCCAUCAUGCCAACAGUGAGAUGGGCAUAUAUAACCUAGAAUUAAAAACAUAUAAUAAAUCUUACAGA